rnacentral:rRNA from 1 species
GAUGAACGCUGGCGGCGUGCUUAACACAUGCAAGUCGAACGGUGAACGAGGGAGCUUGCUCCCUCCGGAUCAGUGGCGAACGGGUGAGUAACACGUGAGCAAUCUGCCCUGGACUCUGGGAUAAGCGUUGGAAACGACGUCUAAUACCGGAUACGAGGCGUGGGGGCAUCCCCAACGCCUGGAAAGAACUUCGGUCCAGGAUGAGCUCGCGGCCUAUCAGCGAGUUGGUGAGGUAACGGCUCACCAAGGCGACGACGGGUAGCCGGCCGGAGAGGGUGACCGGCCACACUGGGACUGAGACACGGCCCAGACUCCUACGGAGGCAGCAGUGGGGAAUAUUGCACAAUGGGCGCAAGCCUGAUGCAGCAACGCCGCGUGAGGGACGACGGCCUUCGGGUUGUAAACCUCUUUUAGCAGGGAAGAAGCGAAAGUGACGGUACCUGCAGAAAAAGCACCGGCUAACUACGUGCCAGCAGCCGCAGUAAAAC